CCAGGUAAUUGUUAAACAAAUUGGAGAAACAAUCUCUCCCUAAUAACUAUUAAUGAGAGCAUCCUUCUAUACCUCCUUCCUCAGCUGCUUGCCAGUGUUCCUCAUGCCUGCCUGCAACUGCCUUCAGAUGUGAAGCUAGGAAGCAUGCAGGGUGCCUGGAUCAGCACAUGGCUCAUAGGAGACCCUCUGUGAUGCCACUCGAUGCUCCCUUCCUCUCUUCCCCAUGCCUUACACCCUCACAGUCUCAGCCUGUUAAAGAAUCAGACUCGGUAAACAAGGGAGCCCCAUGAAGAAGACACUUUCAGCCAGAAGGAGGAGGACAGAAAAAUUGCGCUGACCUUGCCCUAGACCCGUCUUGGUAAACAAGAAGACACGACAGUCUGAUUGGCUGGAUCUGAAUCAUGUGCCCACGCCUAGAAGGCAGACAAGGUGACCUGUAGAAGCUAGAGCCCUUAACUACGGAGCUACUCAUGCACCUGGACCAAGACUCAGAGAAGCUGAAGGAGGAGCUCAUACAGGUCUGAGCGCGGACCCUGCCGACAAGUGAGCCAGCACAUUCAAUGUGGAUGAACCACCACUGUGCCUGGCGCCCAACUCUCACUGUCAGAGUAUAAAACAUGGCUUCACAUCCCCCUCCCCAGCCUUGUGCCAAUUUCUCUUGUGGCCAAUGCUGAUCUGGAACCACAUAGGGAAGGGAAUUCUGGCAAGCGAGUUCCAACAUAGCUAAAUUGACAGUACAGAGCUACCAGAGUCUACUCCUUGUCAACUUGGCAUUCAUAUACACUUAAAAAAAUUUUUUUAAGUUUAUUUAUCUAUUUUGAGACAGAGAGUGUGUGUUGCACAAGCAGGGGAAGGGCAGCGAGAACGAGAGACAGAAUCCCAAGCAGGCUCUGCACCAUCAGCACAGAGGCAAUGAGGGGCUUGAGCUCACAAACUGUGAGAUCAUGACCUGAGCUGAGAUUAAGAGCCCGACACAGAACCGACUGCGCCACUCAGGUGUCCCUCAUACAUGCUUUUUAAAAUGAUACUUAGCUUUUAAGUGAAGACAACAACAAAAUCAUGUUUCCAGUUAACAGAACCCAAUUGCCCCUCAUGCAAUUGAAAACAUGCUAUUCUUCUCCCUAAGAGACAAUAUAAGGUCCCUUUAUCCAUCUUUGGGUAACAUUCAUUCUUUUUCUAGCUCAGUCACCUCCCCCUUUAGAAGUAAGAGCUUUGGGAGGUGAUUAGGUCAUGGGAGUGGAGCCUUUAUAAAAUUAUUUUUUAAUGUUUAUUUAUUUUUGAGAGAAAGAGAGAGACAGACUGCAAGGAGGGGAGAAACAGAGAGAGAGAGGGACAGAGGAUUCAAAGCAGGCUCUGAGCUGACAGAAGCAAGCCUGACAUGGGGCCCGAGCUCAUGAGCCGCAAGAUCAUGACCUAAGCCAACGUUGGACGCUCAACCAACUGAGUCACCCAGGCACCCCGAGAGUGGAGCACUCAUAAAAGAGACCGCAGAGAGUUCCCUCAUCCCUUCUUCUGUGGGAGGACAUAACAAAGAGACAGACAUCUAUGAACCAGGAAAUGUGCCCUUACUAGAUCCAUAAUCUGCUGGUGUCCUGCUUGGAGCUCUUAGCGUCCAGAGCUGUUAGAAAUAAAUUUCUGUUUCUAAGCCAGCCAGUGUGUGGUACUGUGCUAUGGUAUCCCAAGUGAACUAAGAGAGACAUAA